AUUAUAUAAUUGAGCUAAAUGACUGAUAGAACUUAUGUCAAUGCUCUAUACAAUUUCUGUAGAUUUUUUGUCAACUCUUAGAACUCCACGUCUCCUAUAGUUAUGAUAAGGAAGAGACAUCUUAUAUUAACAUCAUGUCUUUUUUGUACAACUAUAUAAGCAAGCAAAUAGAACUGAUGUCAACUCUCUAUAGAAUUUUGCUAGAUUUUUUCCCAACUCCUCACCCCGGCCCUCCUCUUCUACAACUAUGAUUUAAAAAAGAAUUGCAAUGUAAAUCUUCAAUCCCCAACUCCACACCUCCGAACCUCCUCUUCAAUAACUGUGAUUUAAAAAAGAAUUGCAAUGUAAAUCUUCAAAUGCUCGCAGUCCACUAAAAAUUAUAUGCAAGUAUGAGAUUACAUUUACAAGUAACUUACCUUCCCUGGGAACUAAGCCAAAUUUUCGUACUUAGGAAAUGAACUCUUUGUCUACACUUCUAAAAUAGUACACGUACACACCACAAUUGAAAAUUAUCUUCCCAAAUUAAGACGGCAGAGGCAACCAUUGAUUGUUAUUGUUUAUUUGAAAGAACAUGAAGCCAUAUGUAAAUUAUUGUUUUUUUUUGCAUAUGCUUUUUGCCAGAAAUCAUUCGCAAGGCAGCCAAGAUCAAAUAGCAUAGAUUACAAUCACACAAAUCAUUAUUUUCCAAAAUUGAAGAACAAAUAAAGAGUGAGAGAAGAGAAAGGGAGAGGGACUUACCGGUACAAGAGAACAGAGGAAUGAGAAGUGAACUCGGUUGGUGCCUAUUUAUUUGUGUCAAACACCUAGAGUAAUUCUAGAAAAAUCACAUUAGUUGUGGUUUCUAGAAAAAUCAGGUGAUUUGUGGAGGAAAUAUACCACAAAGUUGAUGGAAUUUUAAAAAUAAAAUAGAUAU
rnacentral:lncRNA from 1 species